ACGUAGGUGACGAGCGUUAUCCGGAAUUAUUGGGCGUAAAGCGCACGCAAGCGGUUGUUCAAGUCUGACGUGAAAUCUCCUGGCUUAACUGGGUGCGGUCGUUGGAAACUGAACAGCUUGAGGCGAUGAGAGGGGUGCAGAAUUCCCGGUGUAGUGGUGGAAUGCGUAGAGAUCGGGGGGAAUACCUGUGGCGAAAGCGGCACCCUGGCGUCGUUCUGACGCUCAUGUGCGAAAGCGUGGGGAGCGAACGGGA
rnacentral:rRNA from 1 species